rnacentral:rRNA from 1 species
CCUACGGGUGGCAGCAGUGGGGAAUAUUGGGCAAUGGAGGAAACUCUGACCCAGCAACGCCGCGUGAAGGAUGAAGGUUUUCGGAUUGUAAACUUCUGUUGCGAGGGAUGGAGAAUGACGGUACCUCGUGCGGACGCCCCGGCCAAAUACGUGCCAGCAGCCGCGGUUAUACGUAGGGGGCAAGCGUUGUCCGGAAUGACUGGGCGUAAAGGGAGUGUAGGCGGCCUUUUAAGUUAUAUGUGAAAGCCCCGGGCUUAACCGAGGAACUGCAUAUAAAACUGGAGGGCUGGAGUGCAGGAGAGGUAAGCGGAAUGUGUAGGGUAGCGGUGGAAUGCGGAGAUAUUAGGCAGAACACCGGAGGCGAAGGCGGCUUACUGGACUGUAACUGACGCUGAGGCUCGAAAGCGUGGGGAGCAAACAGGAUUAGAUACCCUGGUAGUC